ACCCGCUGAAUUUAAGCAUAUCAAUAAGCGGAGGAAAAGAAACCAACAGGGAUUGCCUAGUAACGGCGAGUGAAGCGGCAAAAGCUCAAAUUUGAAAUCUGGCACCUUCGGUGUCCGAGUUGUAAUUUGAAGGAGGUAACUUUGGAGUUGGCUCUUGUCUAUGUUCCUUGGAACAGGACGUCACAGAGGGUGGGAAUCCCGUGCGAUGAGAUGCCCAAUUCUAUGUAAAGUGCUUUCGAAGAGUCGAGUUGUUUGGGAAUGCAGCUCUAAGUGGGUGGUAAAUUCCAUCUAAAGCUGAAUAUUGGCGAGAGACCGAUAGCGAACAAGUACAGUGAUGGAAAGAUGAAAAGAACUUUGAAAAGAGAGUGAAAAAGUACGUGAAAUUGUUGAAAGGGAAGGGCUUGAGAUCAGACUUGGUAUUUUGCGAUCCUUUCCUUCUUGGUUGGGUUCCUCGCAGCUUACUGGGCCAGCAUCGGUUUGGAUGGUAGGAUAAUGACUAAGGAAUGUGGCUCUACUUCGGUGGAGUGUUAUAGCCUUGGUUGAUACUGCCUGUCUAGACCGAGGACUGCGUCUUUUGACUAGGAUGUUGGCAUAAUGAUCUUAAGCCACCCGUCUUGAAACACGGACCAAGGAG
rnacentral:rRNA from 1 species